UACGUAGGGUGCGAGCGUUAAUCGGAAUUACUGGGCGUAAAGCGUGCGCAGGCGGUUCUCCAAGUCCGUUGUGAAAGCCCCGGGCUCAACCUGGGAAUGGCAGUGGAAACUAGGGGACUUGAAUCUGGCAGAGGGGGGUGGAAUUCCACGGUGUAGCAGUGAAAUGCGUAGAGAUGUGGAGGAACGCCGAUGGCGAAGGCAGCCCCCUGGGCUGAGAUUGACGCUCAGGCACGAAAGCGUGGGGAGCAAACAGG
rnacentral:rRNA from 1 species